UACGUAGGGUGCAAGCGUUAAUCGGAAUUACUGGGCGUAAAGCGUGCGCAGGCGGUGAUGUAAGACAGGUGUGAAAUCCCCGGGCUUAACCUGGGAACUGCAUUUGUGACUGCAUCGCUGGAGUGCGGCAGAGGGGGAUGGAAUUCCGCGUGUAGCAGUGAAAUGCGUAGAUAUGUGGAGGAACACCGAUGGCGAAGGCAGCCUCCUGGGCCAGCACUGACGCUCAUGCACGAAAGCGUGGGGAGCAAACAGG
rnacentral:rRNA from 1 species